UACGUAGGGGGCAAGCGUUGUCCGGAAUUACUGGGCGUAAAGGGCGCGUAGGCGGCAGGCCAAGUCGGGAGUGAAAGCCCGGGGCUCAACUCCGGAAAUGCCAUUGAAACUGUAGAACUUGAGGACGAGAGAGGUGAGUGGAAUUCCCAGUGUAGAGGUGAAAUUCGUAGAUAUUGGGAAGAACACCGGUGGCGAAGGCGGCUCACUGGCUCGUUUCUGACGCUCAGGCGCGAUAGCGUGGGGAUCAAACAGG
rnacentral:rRNA from 1 species